rnacentral:rRNA from 1 species
UACGUAGGGGGCAAGCGUUUGUCCGGAAUCAUUGGGCGUAAAGAGCGUGUAGGCGGCUUGGUAGGUCCGCUGUGAAAACUCGAGGCUCAACCUCGAGAUGUCGGCGGAAACCACUUGGCUAGAGUCCGGAAGAGGAGAGUGGAAUUCCUGGUGUAGCGGUGAAAUGCGCAGAUAUCAGGAAGAACACCUAUGGCGAAGGCAGCUCUCUGGGACGGUACUGACGCUGAGACGCGAAAGCGUGGGGAGCGAACAGG